rnacentral:tRNA from 1 species
UGAGCAUAAGCACUAUUGUGCAGCCUAGCUGUUAAUUAGGAAGGAGGUUUACCUAUGCCCAA